rnacentral:rRNA from 1 species
UGGAAUUCUUGUGUAGCCUAGCGUAGUGUAGAGACCUACCAAGGCAGUGAUCUAUAGCUGGUCUGAGAGGAUGAUCAGCCACACUGGAACUGAGAUACGGUCCAGACUCCUACGGGAGGCAGCAGUGGGGAAUAUUGGACAAUGGGCGCAAGCCUGAUCCAGCUAUGCCGCGUGAGUGAGGAAGGCCUUAGGGUUGUAAAACUCUUUCAGUGGGGAAGAUAAUGACGGUACCCACAGAAGAAGUCCCGGCAAACUCCGUGCCAGCAGCCGCGGUAAUACGGAGGGGGCAAGCGUUGUUCGGAAUUAUUGGGCGUAAAGGGCAUGUAGGCGGUUCGGUAAGUUAAAGGUGAAAUGCCAGGGCUUAACCCUGGAGCUGCUUUUAAUACUGCCAGACUCGAGUCCGGGAGAGGAUAGCGGAAUUCCAAGUGUAGAGAA